rnacentral:rRNA from 1 species
CCUACGGGUGGCUGCAGUGGGGAAUAUUGGACAAUGGGGGCAACCCUGAUCCAGCCAUGCCGCGUGUGUGAAGAAGGCCCUCGGGUUGUAAAGCACUUUCAGUGAGGAAGAACGCCUGGUGGUUAAUACCCAUCAGGAAAGACAUCACUCACAGAAGAAGCACCGGCUAACUCCGUGCCAGCAGCCGCGGUAAUACGGAGGGUGCGAGCGUUAAUCGGAAUUACUGGGCGUAAAGCGCGCGUAGGUGGCUUGAUAAGCCGGUUGUGAAAGCCCCGGGCUCAACCUGGGAACGGCAUCCGGAACUGUCAAGCUAGAGUGCAGGAGAGGAAGGUAGAAUUCCCGGUGUAGCGGUGAAAUGCGUAGAGAUCGGGAGGAAUACCAGUGGCGAAGGCGGCCUUCUGGACUGACACUGACACUGAGGUGCGAAGGCGUGGGUAGCAAACAGGAUUAGAUACCCCGGUAGUC